ensembl:lncRNA
CAAAUACUUGGAGAAAACUGACUGUAAAUUAUGUGCUAUCUUCCAGUAUAUGCUGGCUAAGAUCUUCAUUGGUCUUCAACCCCAUACACUUCAACCCCAUCACAAUAUACUGUAAAUCAGAAAACUUGUUUAUUUAUUAUGAAUGUGACCUGAUGUUUCAGACAACUGGCGUAGUCCUUAUUUAGUGACUUACAACUGCUUCAAAUUGGAAUUGAUGUAUGAGCAAAAAAAAAAAAAGAACUUUCUUCAGUCAUUUACUGACCCAAUGAUCCAAACCUGUAUGACUUUCUUUGGACAUACAAAUAUGUAUUUUCAGAAAUGUAUCAGUGUUUUCUAAUGCAAUUGAAGCAACCAAAGUGGGGGGUGAGUCAACCCCCCGAACCUUUAAAAUCCGAAGUUCCUAUAAAUCACUUAGCCUCCUUAAACCCAUUGUUUAAUACACACACAUUGUGACACCGGCUGCAGCAGCCGAAAUAAACUGCAGUGCGCUUAGAAAACAAAAAGAUGCGCAUUUGUACACUGAUUUCUUCUGAGGAAGAGCGAGAGAGAGAGAGAGAGAGAGAGAGAGAGAGAGAGAGAGAGAGAGAGAGAGAGAGAGAGAGAGAGAGAGAGAGAGAGAGAGAGAGAGAGAGAGAGAGAGAGAGAGAGAGAGAGAGAGAGAGAGAGAGAGAGAGAGAGAGAGAGAGACUUGCUCGUGCAGGGAGCGUGUUCGGCGUUCACUUCACCUCCCACAUGUAACGUGGCAGACAGCGAUGGCAAAGCUCCUCAACAAGUGAAGCGUGUUGUCUUCAGUUCCCCGAACAAUCGCAGCAUGGUUGCGGUGAGCGCGGAGAGCCCCGUGGAUCAGUACCGGACGCUGGCGUACGACACCGCGCUCAGUACUUUACUCGCUGUGCUGGUGUACGUGGUGGUGAAGGUGAGCCUGGACGGGAUCCGCCAGUGGCGGGCUCGGAUCUCGGUUCUGAUCGUGGGCUCGGGUCCGAUCGGGCUGACCGCGGCUCUGGUCGCUGUCCGCUCCGGUAAAGUGCUGAAACUGACGCUCCUGGAUGAGCGCUACCGGAGCGCGCUGCUCUGCAGACCGCAGCAGAUCGCGCUGGACCCCCGCAGCGUCCGCUUCCUCCUGGACCUGGGGGUGGAUUUUGACAACAUGGAAGGCUGCUGGCACAACGAGCACUUCUUCACCAAAAUCGGAGUGUUUCAGGAGUAUUUGUUGAGCAUCCUGGAGCAGAAGAAGCAAAAGGUUGACGUGAAAGUCCAUUUGGGUACAAAGUUUAGCGAGGAGUACCUGAGGAAGAUGCCGAGGGGUGAAUGGCCGCGGGUGAUUGUAGUUGCUGACGGUUCGUGUGGAGACUCCUGCUCUGUGCUGGGCAUCAGCGCUGAUUACAUCGUGGAAUCAUGUCGCGCUUAUGGCGCCAAUGCUACUAUAGAAAGACCGGACCAGAGACAGGUUCCUACACCAGAGAUCCGUGCACAUAGUUUGUAUUUUGAUCUGUCUGCGUAUGGGAUCGACACUGUGAGGGAAUCCCGCAGCUCCUCGCAGCCGCCAGCGAAGCCUGGAUUCCACCUGAAGAUCUACGGGACGUUCCGGAACCGCUGCAUGGCUCUGGCCUGCACUUCAGACGCAGACUCCAAAAUGAUGCAUUUCCUGCGCCACACGGCCAACUCUUCAAUCAUGAAGAACAUCUUCCACCAGUCGUUCAACGCGUAUAAGACAGACAUCGAGCCUCGUCUGAGUGAACUGACGCUGCACCACAUGCAGUGCAGCCGCAAGCUGUUCCAGAUCAUGCUGUCCUACAGACGCGUCAGCGCCGCUUACAUCGAAGGAGACAACGUGGCCGUGACUGUGGAAGGAGAAGCUGCGCGAGUGCUCAACUUCGACACUGGUUGUGGUGUGAAUCUGGGCAUGAGGGGACUGGAGUCGCUGGGAAUGUUCAUCUACAGAACGGCCACGGCUCUGGACCAGAAUGACGUGUUCGAGGCGCUCUCGGCCAAAAUCCAGCACUCCAGACACGUGGCAGAGACGUUCAGGAAGAGCGGACUGGCCUCGGCUGUGUUUGAAUGACCCUGAGCGUGUGUGUGUGUGUGUCAGAGAAACAGUGUGUGUGUGUGUUCUGAGGUGAGUCAUAAACUAUAACACGUAAUGCUUACAGAAUUAUGAUCUGUUUUUGGAAUAUUGAGUAUUCAGUGCACAUUAGAGUGACCAGAGUUUGUACAUUAGCAGUUCAUUUGUGGGAAAAAAAGUGUAUUGGUGUAAUGUGAUGGUAAACUUGGUACAUUGUGUUUUUGAGUAGUUUAAACAUCUUAAACAUCUGAUCCAGCCUAAAAUGACCACAAUCCUAAAGAAAACCUUACUGAAGAUACAGUGACCUUUAGAAAUAUUUGGCCACUUACAAAAGUAUAAAAGCCACUGCAUUAGAUAAUAAAAUAUCAAAGCAAGAGUCCUAAUCA